GAGACACCCUUAUGGGGCAAGACUUGCUUCAGUGGGGCUUUGGUGCUCACUGAAUCUGCCCCCUGAGUGUGUCCCU
rfam:Myotis lucifugus cont2.34637, whole genome shotgun sequence.